CACAUCAUCAACGCAUUCAAUCAACUGACGCAAGUUCUUCUCUAACAUGGAGCUACAAAUAGAAAAGUACAAUGUAUAUAUGAGAGAAACUAGAGAAGAA